UUAGGUCUCUAGAAAUUGAGCUUUUCUUACUGUACCUUGUUUUUGCCUAUCUGCCUCUUCCAUCACAGAUGUCCAAGAAAAGAUCUGUUUUGCACUUUGAGAAAAGUGGCUGACAUGCUUUCCCCGGAAAUACUAUUAAGUAUGGUGCAUAUUAUUCCAUUCUUAGAAUGGAUAGAUAUUUUCCUGCUGGAUGAGACACAAUUCAUUGUUUGGAGGAAGGAACUAAAACCUGAAUAGAGGAUUCAUGCUCAGGUUCACAUUUGUUUGUCAGUCUUUUGAAUGUGCUGCUGCACAGCAGGAGCAGGUGUGUCUCGGACAGGUCAAUUAGUGGUGUUUGGAGUGAACUGUGAAAUCGGUGAAUAAUUUAUUGGAUUGGGGGCCACAACUAGUUCCCUUCCUUGUCUCCAGAGAAAAAUGAAUACGCUCCAGAACACAGAAAGAAAAGUCCUCUGAAUUAAGAGUAAAGGAGAAGGAAAGUGAGAAGAAUCUUUAAGAGAUCCUGGUUACACAGCAGAAAACAGUUUUGGAAAGGGUUUAAAUACCAAGGUGAUGGAUGCAACCUGAGAACCUGAAUCAAACAAAGCCUGGACCACUGCAAAGAAGGGAAAUGCUAAAAGCACCCUCAUAACGGCCUCUCGUCAGCACUGGUACCUCAAGAGACAGCAGCGGACAUUUGCCACGGCCUUUACUCACCGCCUCCGUGCAGCACGGCCACCAUG